rnacentral:rRNA from 1 species
AGCAAUCUGCCCUUGACUCUGGGAUAAGCGUUGGAAACGACGUCUAAUACCGGAUACGACCUUGGAAGGCAUCUUCUGGGGUGGAAAGAAUUUUGGUCAGGGAUGAGCUCGCGGCCUAUCAGCUAGUUGGUGAGGUAAUGGCUCACCAAGGCGACGACGGGUAGCCGGCCUGAGAGGGUGACCGGCCACACUGGGACUGAGACACGGCCCAGACUCCUACGGGAGGCAGCAGUGGGGAAUAUUGCACAAUGGGCGAAAGCCUGAUGCAGCAACGCCGCGUGAGGGACGACGGCCUUCGGGUUGUAAACCUCUUUUAGUAGGGAAGAAGGGAGCUUGCUCUUGACGGUACCUGCAGAAAAAGCACCGGCUAACUACGUGCCAGCAGCCGCGGUAAUACGUAGGGUGCAAGCGUUGUCCGGAAUUAUUGGGCGUAAAGAGCUCGUAGGCGGUUUGUCGCGUCUGCUGUGAAAACCCGAGGCUCAACCUCGGGCCUGCAGUGGGUACGGGCAGACUAGAGUGCGGUAGGGGAGAUUGGAAUUCCUGGUGUAGCGGUGGAAUGCGCAGAUAUCAGGAGGAACACCAAUGGCGAAGGCAGAUCUCUGGGCCGUAACUGACGCUGAGGAGCGAAAGCAUGGGGAGCGAACAGGAUUAGAUACCCUGGUAGUCCAUGCCGUAAACGUUGGGAACUAGAUGUGGGGACCAUUCCACGGUCUCCGUGUCGCAGCUAACGCAUUAAGUUCCCCGCCUGGGGAGUACGGCCGCAAGGCUAAAACUCAAAGGAAUUGACGGGGGCCCGCACAAGCGGCGGAGCAUGCGGAUUAAUUCGAUGCAACGCGAAGAACCUUACCAAGGCUUGACAUAUAGAGGAAACGGCUGGAAACAGUCGCCCCGCAAGGUCUCUAUACAGGUGGUGCAUGGUUGUCGUCAGCUCGUGUCGUGAGAUGUUGGGUUAAGUCCCGCAACGAGCGCAACCCUCGUCCUAUGUUGCCAGCACGUAAUGGUGGGAACUCAUGGGAUACUGCCGGGGUCAACUCGGAGGAAGGUGGGGAUGACGUCAAAUCAUCAUGCCCCUUAUGUCUUGGGCUUCACGCAUGCUACAAUGGCCGGUACAAAGGGCUGCAAUACCGCAAGGUGGAGCGAAUCCCAAAAAGCCGGUCUCAGUUCGGAUUGAGGUCUGCAACUCGACCUCAUGAAGUCGGAGUCGCUAGUAAUCGCAGAUCAGCAACGCUGCGGUGAAUACGUUCCCGGGCCUUGUACACAC